rnacentral:rRNA from 1 species
AGUGAACGCUGGCGGUAGGCCUAACACAUGCAAGUCGAACGGCAGCACAGUAAGAGCUUGCUCUUACGGGUGGCGAGUGGCGGACGGGUGAGGCAUACAUCGGAAUCUACUUUUUCGUGGGGGAUAACGUAGGGAAACUUACGCUAAUACCGCAUACGACCUACGGGUGAAAGCAGGGGAUCUUCGGACCUUGCGCGAUUGAAUGAGCCGAUGUCGGAUUAGCUAGUUGGCGGGGUAAAGGCCCACCAAGGCGACGAUCCGUAGCUGGUCUGAGAGGAUGAUCAGCCACACUGGAACUGAGACACGGUCCAGACUCCUACGGGAGGCAGCAGUGGGGAAUAUUGGACAAUGGGCGCAAGCCUGAUCCAGCCAUACCGCGUGGGUGAAGAAGGCCUUCGGGUUGGAAAGCCCUUUUGUUGGGAAAGAAAAGCAGCAGGUUAAUACCCCGCUGUUCUGACGGUACCCAAAGAAUAAGCACCGGCUAACUUCGUG